CAGGGGGGCAAGCGUUGUUCGGAAUUACUGGGCGUAAAGGGCUCGUAGGCGGCCAACUAAGUCCGACGUGAAAUCCCCAGGCUUAACCUGGGAACUGCGUCGGAUACUGGUUGGCUUGAAUCCGGGAGAGGGAUGCGGAAUUCCAGGUGUAGCGGUGAAAUGCGUAGAUAUCUGGAGGAACACCGGUGGCGAAGGCGGCAUCCUGACCGGCAUUGACGCUGAACAGCGAAAGCCAGGGGAGCAAACGGGAUUAGAUACCCCGGUAGUCCUGGCCCUAAACGAUGAAUGUUUGGUGUGGCGGGUAUCGAUCCCUGCCGUGCCGAAGCUAACGCAUUAAACAUUCCGCCUGGGGAGUACGGUCGCAAGGCUG
rnacentral:rRNA from 1 species